rfam:Clostridium ventriculi strain 2789STDY5834858 genome assembly, contig: SCcontig000004
CGCGGGGUGGAGCAGUUGGCAGCUCGUCGGGCUCAUAACCCGAAGGUCGUAGGUUCAAGUCCUGCCCCCGCAA